rnacentral:rRNA from 1 species
UACGUAGGGGGCAAGCGUUGUCCGGAUUUAUUGGGCGUAAAGAGCUCGUAGGCGGCUUAGCAAGUCGGGUGUGAAAACUUCAGGCUCAACCUGGAGCGGCCACUCGAUACUGCUAUGGCUUGAGUCCGGUAGGGGACCACGGAAUUCCUGGUGUAGCGGUGAAAUGCGCAGAUAUCAGGAGGAACACCAGUGGCGAAGGCGGUGGUCUGGGCCGGAACUGACGCUGAGGAGCGAAAGCGUGGGUAGCAAACAGG